rnacentral:rRNA from 1 species
UACGUAGGGUGCAAGCGUUGUCCGGAAUUAUUGGGCGUAAAGAGCUCGUAGGCGGUUCGUUAAGUCGGAUGUGAAAGCCCUCGGCUCAACUGAGGAAGUGCACCCGAAACUGGCGAGCUUGAGUACGAAAGAGGAUCGCGGAAUUCCCGGUGUAGAGGUGAAAUUCGUAGAUAUCGGGAGGAACACCGGUGGCGAAGGCGGCGAUCUGGGUCGAUACUGACGCUGAGGUGCGAAAGCGUGGGGAGCAAACAGG